rnacentral:rRNA from 1 species
UACGGAGGGUGCGAGCGUUGUCCGGAAUCACUGGGCGUAAAGGGCGCGUAGGCGGCCGUGUAAGUCACUUGUGAAAUCCCGGGGCUCAACUCCGGGGCUGCAGGUGAGACUGCAUGGCUAGAGCUUGGUAGAGGCGAGUGGAAUUCCCGGUGUAGCGGUGGAAUGCGUAGAUAUCGGGAAGAACAUCAGUGGCGAAGGCGGCUACCUGGCCCAAUACUGACACUCAGGUGCGAACAGCGUGGGGAGCAAACAGGG